rnacentral:lncRNA from 1 species
CCACCCGCCUCUGCCUCCCAAAAUGGGGUUCAUUUUUAUCCCCUAUAAAGGGGACGCAAUAGUAAAACUACCUCAAAAUUAUUGUACGAACUAUCAAGCUAUGAGCCAUAGAGACACUUUGUGGACUGUGAAAUGUUUUGCAAAUCAUUGCUUAUAUAUAAGUAAGCCUAGGACCGGCUCAGCCUCUAAAGCAAAUAACAGUAACAACAACAACAAAAUCGUCCUUUUCAUUCUCAUAACUGUUACUGUCUAUUGUGCAGCUUGUGGGCAGCAGAGUUGGAUGACUUCAUUCAAGUCCUGAUUCCCAACCUAUUAGCUGCAUGGCUUUAAGCAAGCUGCUUAAUCUCUCAGCAAUUCUGCAUUCUCCUCUAUGAAACUAGGGCUAAAAACAGACCUACUCCAUAGAGUUGCUGUGAAAACUUUUUAAAAUGAUGGAAAUAAAGCUAAGGACAACAAUCUAGAGUAAAUGCACCAUAAAUGGUACAUACCUUUGCUCUUUCAAGCCCCAUAGUGUUACAGAGUAGGUACUAUUAUAGCUAUUAUCCUCAUUUCCAGAGGAAAAAGCUGAGAGCCAGAUAGGGUCAGUAACUUGCCCAAUGCCACAUACCUAGGGAAUGAUAGAACUGGGAUUCCUAGACAGGUCUGUCUGACUUGGAUAUUUUUGUGGUUGCCUAAGUAGAUGUUCUCACUGUCCAUAAUGACAUACCAGAAACAUCUAAGGAAAUUCCUGAGCAAAAGAAAAAAGAAUUGCUUGACCAGGUGCAGUGGCUCACACCUGUAAUCCCAGCACUUUGGGAGGCCAAGAUGGGCAGAUCGCUUGAGCUCAAGAGUUCGAGACCUGCCUGGCCACAUGACAAAACCCAGUCUCUACUAAAAAUACCAAGAUUAGCCGGGCAUGGUGGCACGUGCCUGUGGUCCCAGCUACUCAGAAGGCUGAGGUGGGAGGAUUAUUUGAGCUUGGGAGGUGGAGGUUGCAAUGAGCUCAGAUCGCACCACUGCACUCUAGUCUGGGUGACAGAGUGAGACCCCAUCUCAAAACAAAAAAAAAAA